rnacentral:rRNA from 1 species
CAGCCCUUGACAUGGCGGCAAAAGCCGGGCGCGAGCUCGGGGUUCCUUCGGGAGGCCGUCACAGGUGCUGCAUGGCUGUCGUCAGCUCGUGUCGUGAGAUGUUGGGUUAAGUCCCGCAACGAGCGCAACCCUUACCUUCAGUUGCCAGCGGGUUGGGCCGGGCACUCUGAAGGGACCGCCGGUGACAAGCCGGAGGAAGGUGGGGAUGACGUCAAGUCCUCAUGGCCCUUAUGGGCUGGGCUACACACGUGCUACAAUGGCGGUGACAGUGGGCAGCGAAGCAGCGAUGUGGANCGAACCCCCAAAAANCGUCUCACUUCNGAUCGCAGGCUUGCAACUCGCCUGCGUGAAGGUGGAAUCGCUAGUAAUCGCCGAUCAACAUGCCGCGGNGAAUACCUUC